rnacentral:rRNA from 1 species
AAUGAACGCUGGCGGCGCGCCUAAUACAUGCAAGUCGAGCGAGAAGACGUAGCAAUACGUUUGUAAAGCGGCGAACGGGUGAGGAAUACAUGGGUAACCUACCCUCGAGUGGGGAAUAACUAGCCGAAAGGUUAGCUAAUACCGCGUACGCUUCUUGGACUUCGGUUCAGGGAGGAAAGCGAUACCGUGGGUAUCGCGCUCUUGGAUGGGCUCAUGUCCUAUCAGCUUGUUGGUGAGGUAACGGCUCACCAAGGCUUCGACGGGUAGCUGGUCUGAGAGGACGAUCAGCCACACUGGCACUGCGACACGGGCCAGACUCCUACGGAGGCAGCAGUAAGGAAUAUUGCGCAAUGGGCGAAAGCCUGACGCAGCGACGCCGCGUGGGGGAUGAAGGUCUCGGAUUGUAAACCCCUUUCGGGAGGGAAGAUGAAUGGGUAACCAUUCGGACGUACUCCAGAAGCAGCCACGGCUAACUUCGUGCCAGCAGCCGCCGU